rnacentral:miRNA from 1 species
UAAGCCUUACAUAUUGACUGA